rnacentral:rRNA from 1 species
AGGGAAUAUUGCGCAAUGGACGGAAGUCUGACGCAGCGACGCCGCGUGAGCGAUGAAGGUCUUCGGAUCGUAAAGCUCUGUCCUUGGGGAAGAAGGCGAAAGCUUGACGGUACCCAAGAAGAAAGCCCCGGCUAACUACGUGCCAGCAGCCGCGGUAAAACAUAGGGGGCGAGCGUUAUCCGGAAUUAUUGGGCGUAAAGAGUACGUAGGCGGCCUGUUAAGUCUGAUGUGAAAUCCCGCGGCUUAACCGCGGAGGGUCAUUGGAAACUGGCAGGCUUGAGUACGGCAGGGGUAAGUGGAAUUCCAAGUGGAGCGGUGAAAUGCGUAGAUAUUUGGAGGAACACCAGUGGCGAAGGCGGCUUACUGGGCCGGAACUGACGCUGAGGUACGAAAGCGUGGGGAGCAAACA